rnacentral:rRNA from 1 species
UACGGAGGGGGCAAGCGUUGUUCGGAAUUACUGGGCGUAAAGGGCGCGCAGGCGGCUGCUCAAGUCAGGCGUGAAAGGCCUGGGCUCAACCCGGGAAUUGCGCUUGAGACUGGGCUGGCUUGAGUGCGGGAGAGGAUGGUGGAAUUCCCAGUGUAGAGGUGAAAUGCGUAGAUAUCUGGAGGAGCACCGGUGGCGAAGGCGGCGUUCUGGACUGCAACUGACACUGAGAGACGAAAGCCAGGGGAGCAAACGGG